AUUGAACGCUGGCGGAAUGCUUUACACAUGCAAGUCGAGCGGCAGCACGGGGGCAACCCUGGUGGCGAGCGGCGAACGGGUGAGUAAUACAUCGGAACAUGCCCAGUCGUGGGGGAUAACACUUCGAAAGAAGUGCUAAUACCGCAUACGUCCUGAGGGGGAAAGCGGGGGAUCGCAAGACCUCGCGCGAUUGGAGUGGCCGAUGUCAGAUUAGCUAGUUGGUGGGGUAAAGGCCUACCAAGGCAACGAUCUGUAGCUGGUCUGAGAGGAUGAUCAGCCACACUGGGACUGAGACACGGCCCAGACUCCUACGGGAGGCAGCAGUGGGGAAUUUUGGACAAUGGGGGCAACCCUGAUCCAGCCAUUCCGCGUGAGUGAAGAAGGCCUUCGGGUUGUAAAGCUCUUUCGGCAGGAACGAAACGGUGAGCUCUAACAUAGCUUGCUAAUGACGGUUCCUGAAGAAGAAGCACCGGCUAACUACGUG
rnacentral:rRNA from 1 species